CCUUGAGCUGCUCCAGUGUUGAAUAUCAGUGAGGAAGAGAUGUUAUUUCCCAUCCUCACAGACUGUGGUCUUCAGGUGAGGAAGCCAAGGAUCCAUUUGCCAAGGGAGGUACAGGGACCAAGGUUUUGGAGCUCGCUGAUUAGAACUGAAGAAUGAGAAGUGACGGGAGCAUGUGGCUGUCAUGGCAGAAGACUGACAUUUUGAUGUCCAGAAGUGAUGAUCCAGAACUCUACAAAAAGUUCAGGAACGACCUCCGGAAGAGGGGAGAAGUAAUGGAGAAUGAAGUUAGAGACAGCAUCCAAUGCUAUGGCUCUGGCCAGAUGGCAUACGGUCACCAUGGUAACGUAGCGGUCAGCACGACGCUAUUACAGCUCAGGACGUCAGAGUUUGGCGUUCAAUCCCAGCAUCCUCUUUGAGGAGUUUCCACAUCCUCCCUGUGGCUGUUCCGGUUUCCUCCCACACUCCAAAGGCAUCCAGGUCUGAAUCUGAUUCUUAUUAUGAUUCUUAUUCUGGUUAUAAUUCUGAUACUCAAACACGAGGAAAUCUGCAGAUGCCGGAAAUUCAAGCAACACACCCAAAAUACUGGUGAACGCAGCAGGCCAGGCAGCAUCUACUGGAAGAGUGACAUAGUGCGAAGUAGGCCUUACCAGACCUUCAAGCCACGCCACUCCAGCGAUCCCUGACAAACCCUAUUGACCCUAACCUAAUCGUGGGACAAUUUACAAUGACCAAUUACCCUACCUGGUAUACCUUUGGACUGUGGGAGGAAACCAGAGCACCCGGAGGAAACCUACGCAUUCCAUGGGGAGGACGUACAGAGACUCCUUACAGAACAGCGCUGGAGUUGAACUCCAAACCCUGGAACACCCUGAGCUGUGAUAGCAUGACGCUAACUGCAGCUCUACUGUGAUAUAUACCAUGAUAAAUAUCCAUUGAAGCUGAUAUUCACAUGGAAACAAGUAACCAUUUCAUUGUGUUCCAAAUUUCAUUGGCUGGUUCUGGAAGGUAGCUUCAACAUAGUGAAGAAUCACAAUGCUUAUUCAUACUGUCUGAAGUUGGUUAUUCAUAAAUUAUCAGAUAAAUCUGCAAUAUACAUUUAUUAUAGAUAGACUAGACAGACACUAUCCUUCUCUCAGGGUUGAGGAGGAGGAGGAGAAGAUGGCGGCGUGACGCAGCGCGCGCGGCCACUCCGGUGAAUGAUAUCUGUUAUGUGUCAAGUAGGGUGCCGUGCACAAUUCUAAUUUGAUGGAGACGGAGGUAAGAGUGUAGAGGAACAUCUGGAGGAACCUCUGAAAUGUCCGCUUCGCUGCCGCUGUUACUGUGUGGUACGGAAUAUCCGGAGGAAUAUCUCAGCAGAUUUCAUUGAAGGAUCAAGCCAAGAUUCAGUCCCGAUUAAAAUGUCAGGAUUUUCUGUUUCAAUAAAUGAAUCAA